rnacentral:rRNA from 1 species
AUUGAACGCUGGCGGCAGGCCUAACACAUGCAAGUCGAACGGUAACAGGAAACAGCUUGCUGUUUCGCUGACGAGUGGCGGACGGGUGAGUAAUGUCUGGGAAACUGCCUGAUGGAGGGGGAUAACUACUGGAAACGGUAGCUAAUACCGCAUAACGUCGCAAGACCAAAGAGGGGGACCUUCGGGCCUCUUGCCAUCGGAUGUGCCCAGAUGGGAUUAGCUAGUAGGUGGGGUAACGGCUCACCUAGGCGACGAUCCCUAGCUGGUCUGAGAGGAUGACAAGCCACACUGGAACUGAGACACGGUCCAGACUCCUACGGGAGGCAGCAUUGGGGAAUAUUGCACAAUGGGCGCAAGCCUGAUGCAGCCAUGCCGCGUGUAUGAAGAAGGCCUUCGGGUUGUAAAGUACUUUCAGCGGGGAGGAAGGGAGUAAAGUUAAUACCUUUGCUCAUUGACGUUACCCGCAGAAGAAGCACCGGCUAACUCCGUGCCAGCCGCCGCAGUAA